rnacentral:lncRNA from 1 species
UCCAGAGGCAUCUGGGGGGGCAUAGUCGGUUGGGCAUCUGACUCAUGGUUUUGGCUCAGGUCAUGAUCUCAGGGUCCUGGGCUAGAGACCCGCAUGGGGCCCCCCACUCACUGGGGAGUCUGCUUCUCCUAUCCCUCCCUCUCUGCUGCUCUGUCCCUCGGCUCUGCCCUUGAGGGUUCUCUUUCUCUCAAAUAAAUAAAUCUUAAAAAAAAAUUCUUCCAUGUGGCAGUUCCAACAUGGGGCUUCAAAUUUCUUGACACUCCUUUCAUUAAGAGUUGGGGGUAUGUCCCCACCCCUGCGUCUGGAUGGGCUGUGGCUGCUGCAGACAGAAGCCCAGAGCAGCGCUGCCCCAACUUUUUUCCAUGAUUAUCUUCUAAGGAUCCUGUUUACUCAUUUUCUCUUCCUAGAAAUGCCCCCCACCAAGCUAUGAAAUUUUAAUACUAAAGACAUGCUGUAUACGUCCAUGUUCUACUGAUCUGUCCAUCAGUCGAUCCGUCUACCAAUGGAUCAUCUAUGUUUUGUAUAUGAAAAGAGUAGCAUCGUUUUCACCCUCCAAGAAGCAAUGUUCGUCCCUGUCGGAAGGCCCGGAUGGAGCCUGGGGACAGUGACCCUGUGUGACAUCUGAGGCCAGGCCAGGAGGAAUCCCGUAGCUCCUUGCUCAGGCUCUAGAAAUGCCGGUGCUGGGGACUGUCCCACUCAGAACCCGGCGGCCCCAUGCAGAGGCUACCUGUACGGUCUUGGGUCCACAGUCAGGACUGGGCUCCGUGUUGGGUCACCCUGGCUCCUGUUCCAGACACACGGGCAAAGAAGCUUCUGGAUGACAGUGGCACCCAGCCAUGUGAGUCACCCCGCCAGCAUUAUGUCAUCCCAGUUGAGGCCCCAGACAUGAGGGAGAAGAGACAGGCUGUCCCCUCUCAGCCCUUUUGAAUUCCUGACCACGGAAUCUGUGACAUGACAAAGUGAUUGCUGUUUUAUGUCACAAAGAAAAUCUAAGUAUGGAUCACGGGACCAUUUGGCUCUGUCCGUUCCAGGGUCGGGCAAGACGGUAAAGAGGAAGGUCCUGCCUCUGUCGUGGGCCCGGAGGGCUGUGGGGAGGCUGCUGGCUGCUUCCAAGGGCCCCUCCGGGACUCAGCUCUGCAAAGGGGACAGAGGCUGGGAGCUCCCACAUGGUCCUGUGCUUGUCCUGCCCCAGCUCUGGAAGUGCUCCCUUCUGAAGCCCCAGCCCCACUCACCUUGGAUGAGGAGAAGAAGCAGAACCCAGAGAAGCCACAUGUCCGGCCUGCCUGGGUUGUCUCCCUGGUGCUCAGCUGAUGCCUGCUGCUCUCCAGUGUCUGGAACUGAACUCAGGGGCAACCUGCCUUCUAUUUUUCUAAAAAAAUUUUUUUAAAA